ACGGAAAGGCAGGAUUGNGGUAGGAUGGAUUGGNGGCAGCAGAACUGUUGGAAAGGUGNAGAGAGUAGCCUUUUUUCGUUAACUCGAAGAUAAAUAGGGAAAGCUUAUUGAUUAGGUGGAAGAAGCGUACUGAGAAAGCUUAUCUACUGGCAGCAGCGAUGAAAUACGGGCAGGUGGCGAAGACCGUCUGCCUAGAGUCCUUCUGGAGCUUUAGCUGAUGCCUUGCAGCCGUUUUUUUUCCCCUGGACAAUGUCCUAUAAUUUCAGCCUGGAUUACACGGGCAUUGAGCUAUGGCUAAAAAAAUGGUUCAAAGUAGCAAAAGAUCUNGAUAGAAAUCAGAAAUGAUACUUGUUUCAACUUGUGGUAUAAAAUCAUAGCAAAAACACUUCCACCCUGGUCACCUCUUUCAUAUAGGUUUAAAUCGCGCAAUUUCUUUAAUCAAAGACUGAGGGUUAUAUGUGCCCAAGAAUUAAUAACUAAAGCAGAUUCAGCCUGAUCUNCUCUAACCUUCAGAAUCCAGUUUCAAAAUGCCUUUCAAAUUGGAAAUCGCUAACCCACUCUGAAUGUAAUGUUGGUUUAAUAAAAGAAAACGAAGAAGAGUUGGCUUUUAUAUCCCGCUUUUCUCACCCAGAGGGACCAAAGCNGCUGACAAACCUUCUGUCAAACCAUACUAAAUGUUUUUCCAUCAAACCUANUGGAUAGCAGAUUUAUGAAAACUUAUUUGGAUUUAAGAUUAUAUGUGUGCAAUAACCAAGAAAGGAGUUAUUGGAUCGUAUUGUUCUGAGGUGCAGUUAUUACAAAGGAGCUCCUGACUAAAAUGCUUAAAACUCUACUACUAGAUGAGAAUUCUACAUUAAUAUUAACCAUCACCAAAUUCCUAGCUGUAGCUAUCAAAGUNAGAAAACUCUUAGUUAAGUUUAUUUUAAUCUUAUUUUAUUAUAUCAGUGAUUUUAUAUAUGUUUGUAUUUCUCAUGCAAUGGGGCCUUUGGGUCAUUGUAAAGACGUAUGAUUUUGGAAGACAGAAACAUCAAUUGCAACUGUCCUUAAAUCCAAGAGUUACUGNUGGCCAGGAUAUACCCAUGCACUUUCCUUGGCAUAGCUUAAUAGGACCCAAGGCUGCUAUCAGAACCUUGAUUACACCUGUGGAACCAAGAUCAGGCUAAAGAGAACAGCAUAUCCACAAAGGCUAUGAAGUUUCUCAGCUCAGUGCCACUAGAGUAGACAUGAGAGAUGGAUUCCAUCUUGCACCUGUUGUAUCAAAUAAAAAGGUUCAGCAAAAGGCA
rnacentral:lncRNA from 1 species